GGGCGAUUAGCUCAGUUGGUUUAGAGCACUUGGUUUACACCCAAGGGGUCGGGGGUUCGACUCCCUCAUCGCCCACCA
rnacentral:tRNA from 4 species